UAAACGCUGGCGGUGUGUUUAAUACAUGCAAGUCGAACGGUCCCGCAAGGGAUAGUGGCAAACGAGCGAGUAAUACGUUGGAACCUUCCCCGAACUCAGGGAUAAGCACUGGAAACGGUGUCUAAUACCGGAUAGUCCCGCAAGGGUAAAGAUUUUUCGGUUCGGGAGGGGCCUGCGUCCUAUCAGCUAGUUGGUGAGGUAAAGGCUUACCAAGGCUAUGACGGGUAGCUGGUCUGAGAGGAUGAUCAGCCGCGAUGGAACUGAGACACGGUCCAUACUCCUACGGGAGGCAGCAGUAGGGAAUCUUCCGCAAUGGACGAAAGUCUGACGGAGCAACACCGCGUGAACGAUGACGCCCUUCGGGGUGUAAAGUUCUUUUCUAAGGGAAGAAUUCUGACGGUACCUUAGGAAUAAGCACCGGCUAACUCUGU
rnacentral:rRNA from 1 species